AUAGGCGCCUCUGGCGCGACGCGUGGGAGAGAACGUGACCGUCAUUUUUUUGUGUGUGUCAACUGUGGGAAAAUGAGCGAGAAAAUGGAACGGGACAGGAGCAGCGGCACAAUAACGUCAUUUGAAUGCAGUCUCGAGUGCUCCAAGCUCCUUGCUGUCACCCAGAGCCCUUCUGUGAAACACAUGCAGUCCUUAAAUUCUUCGCUGGUACUCUUGGCUUUUGUCCCUGCCCUUGCAGUAGCCGCCCAGUCCUGCAUGGGUUUUUACUUCAUCUUUCCGUAUCGCCUCUUUUCCUCCAAAAGUCCACAUAUUUUGUAUGUGUUUUCUAAUCUUGGCUCCUGUUUGGAAUCAGGUACAAGCCUCUAAGAAAGAAAAAGAAGUCUAUGGGUUCCAUAUCCAUAGAUUCAGAUGCAAGUGUUCUUGCGUGAUGUCUGGGCUUCGAGUUUUUUUUUUUUGUUGUUGUUGUUGUUGUUGUUGUUGUUUUUAAAUAGUUACCUAGCGAUUCUUAUGCACAACUCACGGAGAAAUUCACUAUUAAAAGCGUCUGUUUCUCAGACCCCACCUAAUCAACGUUUUGCAGCUUCAUCUCCCGCAGGUGUAACAGAUGCUCAUGCUCAUCGCAAGGCGGGAGUAGACUUUCCAGCACAUCCUCUGAAGCAGUGGUGUCAAGCUGCAGCUCAUUUGCUCUCUAGGGAACAUUCUACAACCUCUGGAGACACUUUGAGUUGUCAGGCUGGAGAGAUGGCUCAGCAGUUAAAAGCACUGACUGCUCUUCCAGAAGACUCAGCUUCAGUUCCCAGAACCCACAUAUCAGCUAACAACUGCCUCAACUCCAAGACCUGACACCCUCACACAGACAUACUUUAGUCCAGCAACCAGAACCAAAGAAAUGCACCCUGACCCUGAAACCAGUGCCAAAGAAACACCCUUUGUCCCUAGAAUCGGAGCCAGUGAA